rnacentral:rRNA from 1 species
GUGGGGAAUUUUGGACAAUGGGCGCAAGCCUGAUCCAGCAAUGCCGCGUGCAGGAAGAAGGCCUUCGGGUUGUAAACUGCUUUUGUACGGAACGAAACGGUCCUGGCUAAUAUCCGGGGCUAAUGACGGUACCGUAAGAAUAAGCACCGGCUAACUACGUGCCAGCAGCCGCGGUAAUACGUAGGGUGCAAGCGUUAAUCGGAAUUACUGGGCGUAAAGCGUGCGCAGGCGGUUUUGUAAGACAGGCGUGAAAUCCCCGGGCUCAACCUGGGAAUUGCGCUUGUGACUGCAAGGCUGGAGUGCGGCAGAGGGGGAUGGAAUUCCGCGUGUAGCAGUGAAAUGCGUAGAUAUGCGGAGGAACACCGAUGGCGAAGGCAAUCCCCUGGGCCUGCACUGACGCUCAUGCACGAAAGCGUGGGGAGCAAACAGGAUUAGAAACCCGGGUAGUCC